rnacentral:tRNA from 1 species
AUUCAUUUAUUAUAAAAAGUAUAUUUGACUUCCAAUCAAAAGGUCUAUUAACAAGAAUGAAUA